rnacentral:rRNA from 1 species
AGAGUUUGAUCCUGGCUCAGGAUGAACGCUGGCGGCGUGCUUAACACAUGCAAGUCGAACGAUGAAGCCAGCUUGCUGGGGAUUAGUGGCGAACGGGUGAGUAACACGUGAGUAACCUGCCCUUGACUCUGGGAUAAGCCUGGGAAACCGGGUCUAAUACUGGAUAUGACUGCCGGCCGCAUGGUCUGGUGGUGGAAAGCUUUAUUGCGGUUUUGGAUGGACUCGCGGCCUAUCAGCUUGUUGGCGGGGUAAUGGCCCACCAAGGCGACGACGGGUAGCCGGCCUGAGAGGGUGACCGGCCACACUGGGACUGAGACACGGCCCAGACUCCUACGGGAGGCAGCAGUGGGGAAUAUUGCACAAUGGGCGCAAGCCUGAUGCAGCGACGCCGCGUGAGGGAUGAAGGCCUUCGGGUUGUAAACCUCUUUCAGUAGGGAAGAAGCGAAAGUGACGGUACCUGCAGAAGAAGCGCCGGCUAACUACGUGCCAGCAGCCGCGGUAAUACGUAGGGCGCAAGCGUUAUCCGGAAUUAUUGGGCGUAAAGAGCUCGUAGGCGGUUUGUCGCGUCUGCCGUGAAAGUCCGGGGCUUAACUCCGGAUCUGCGGUGGGUACGGGCAGACUAGAGUGCAGUAGGGGAGACUGGAAUUCCUGGUGUAGCGGUGAAAUGCGCAGAUAUCAGGAGGAACACCGAUGGCGAAGGCAGGUCUCUGGGCUGUAACUGACGCUGAGGAGCGAAAGCAUGGGGAGCGAACAGGAUUAGAUACCCUAGUAGUCC